UCCGCCCGGGUAAUACGAGCAUUAGCUUAAAACCCAAAGGACUUGGCGGUGCUUUAGACCCCCCUAGAGGAGCCUGUUCUAGAACUGAUAACCCCCGUUAAACCUCACCACCCCUUGUUUUACCCGCCUAUAUACCACCGUCGUCAGCUUACCCUGUGAAGGUAACGUAGUGAGCACAAAUGGCAAAGCCAUAAACGUCAGGUCGAGGUGUAGCGAAUGGGGUGGUAAGAAAUGGGCUACAUUCUCUAUUG
rnacentral:rRNA from 1 species